rnacentral:rRNA from 1 species
GAUGAACGCUGGCGGCGUGCCUAAUACAUGCAAGUCGAGCGAACAGAUAAGGAGCUUGCUCCUUUGACGUUAGCGGCGGACGGGUGAGUAACACGUGGGUAACCUACCUAUAAGACUGGGAUAACUUCGGGAAACCGGAGCUAAUACCGGAUAACAUUUGGAACCGCAUGGUUCUAAAGUGAAAGAUGGUUUUGCUAUCACUUAUAGAUGGACCCGCGCCGUAUUAGCUAGUUGGUAAGGUAACGGCUUACCAAGGCAACGAUACGUAGCCGACCUGAGAGGGUGAUCGGCCACACUGGAACUGAGACACGGUCCAGACUCCUACGGGAGGCAGCAGUAGGGAAUCUUCCGCAAUGGGCGAAAGCCUGACGGAGCAACGCCGCGUGAGUGAUGAAGGGUUUCGGCUCGUAAAACUCUGUUAUUAGGGAAGAACAAAAGUGUAAGUAACUGUGCACGUCUUGACGGUACCUAAUCAGAAGGCCACGGCUAACUACGUG